rnacentral:rRNA from 1 species
UCGUAGUUGAACCUUGGGUCUGGCUGGCCGGUCCGCCUCACCGCGAGUACUGGUCCGGCUGGACCUUUCCUUCUGGGGAACCCCAUGGCCUUCACUGGCUGUGGGGGGAACCAGGACUUUUACUGUGAAAAAAUUAGAGUGUUCAAAGCAGGCCUUUGCUCGGAUACAUUAGCAUGGAAUAAUAGAAUAGGACGUGCGGUUCUAUUUUGUUGGUUUCUAGGACCGCCGUAAUGAUUAAUAGGGAUAGUCGGGGGCGUCAGUAUUCAGCUGUCAGAGGUGAAAUUCUUGGAUUUGCUGAAGACUAACUACUGCGAAAGCAUUCGCCAAGGAUGUUUUCAUUAAUCAGGGAACGAAAGUUAGGGGAUCGAAGACGAUCAGAUACCGUCGUAGUCUUAACCAUAAACUAUGCCGACUAGGGAUCGGGCGGCGUUUCUUUUAUGACCCGCUCGGCACCUUACGAGAAAUCAAAGUUUUUGGGUUCUGGGGGGAGUAUGGUCGCAAGGCUGAAACUUAAAGAAAUUGACGGAAGGGCACCACAAGGCGUGGAGCCUGCGGCUUAAU